UGGCUCAGAUUGAACGCUGGCGGCAGGCCUAACACAUGCAAGUCGAACGGUAGCACAGAGAGCUUGCUCUCGGGUGACGAGUGGCGGACGGGUGAGUAAUGUCUGGGAAACUGCCUGAUGGAGGGGGAUAACUACUGGAAACGGUAGCUAAUACCGCAUAACGUCGCAAGACCAAAGAGGGGGACCUUCGGGCCUCUUGCCAUCAGAUGUGCCCAGAUGGGAUUAGCUAGUAGGUGGGGUAACGGCUCACCUAGGCGACGAUCCCUAGCUGGUCUGAGAGGAUGACCAGCCACACUGGAACUGAGACACGGUCCAGACUCCUACGGGAGGCAGCAGUGGGGAAUAUUGCACAAUGGGCGCAAGCCUGAUGCAGCCAUGCCGCGUGUAUGAAGAAGGCCUU
rnacentral:rRNA from 1 species